AACGAACGCUGGCGGCAUGCCUUACACAUGCAAGUCGAACGGCAGCGGGGGAGAAGCUUGCUUUUCCUGCCGGCGAGUGGCGAACGGGUGAGUAAUACAUCGGAACGUGCCCUGUAGUGGGGGAUAACUAGUCGAAAGAUUAGCUAAUACCGCAUACGACCUGAGGGUGAAAGUGGGGGGCCGCAAGGCCUCAUGCUAUAGGAGCGGCCGAUGUCUGAUUAGCUAGUUGGGGGGGUAAAGGCCUACCAAGGAGACGAUCAGUAGCUGGUCUGAGAGGACGAUCAGCCACACUGGGACUGAGACACGGCCCAGACUCCUACGGGAGGCAGCAGUGGGGAAUUUUGGACAAUGGGCGAAAGCCUGAUCCAGCAAUGCCGCGUGUGUGAAGAAGGCCUUCGGGUUGUAAAGCACUUUUGUCCGGAAAGAAAUGGCUCUGGUUAAUACCUGGGGUCGAUGACGGUACCGGAAGAAUAAGGACCGGCUAACUACGUGCCAGCCGCCGCGGUAACAC
rnacentral:rRNA from 1 species